UUCUGAGCGCGCCCUCCGCGCCCACCUGACAGCUCUCGCUACGUUUUGUUAGCC
rnacentral:sRNA from 1 species